rnacentral:rRNA from 1 species
GGUGGAGCGGCGGACGGGUUAGUAACGCGUGGGAAUAUACCCUUCACUAUGGAAUAGCCUCGGGAAACUGAGAGUAAUACCAUAUACGCCCUUCGGGGGAAAGAUUUAUCGGUGAAGGAUUAGCCCGCGUAAGAUUAGAUAGUUGGUGGGGUAAUGGCCUACCAAGUCUACGAUCUUUAGCUGGUUUUAGAGGAUGAUCAGCAACACUGGGACUGAGACACGGCCCAGACUCCUACGGGAGGCAGCAGUGGGGAAUCUUAGACAAUGGGCGCAAGCCUGAUCUAGCCAUGCCGCGUGAGUGAUGAAGGUCUUAGGAUCGUAAAGCUCUUUCGCUAGGGAUGAUAAUGACAGUACCUAGUAAAGAAGCCCCGGCUAACUCCGUGCCAGCAGCCGCGGUAAUACGGAGGGGGCUAGCGUUGUUCGGAAUUACUGGGCGUAAAGCGUACGUAGGCGGAUCAGAAAGUAUGGGGUGAAAUCCCAGGGCUUAACCCUGGAACUGCCUCAUAAACUCCUGGUCUUGA